UUGUAGUGGUGGUGUAGUGGUGUUUACAAGUAAUUGAUCACAACCAGUUAUAGAUUCCUUUAUUCCUUCUCCACUCCCACUGCUUCACUUGACCAGAAAAAA
rnacentral:sRNA from 1 species